rnacentral:rRNA from 1 species
ACGGAAGGCAGCAGUGGGGAAUAUUGCACAAUGGGGGAAACCCUGAUGCAGCGACGCCGCGUGAGGGAAGAAGUAUCUCGGUAUGUAAACUUCUAUCAGCAGGGAAGAAAAUGACGGUACCUGACUAAGAAGCCCCGGCUAACUACGUGCCAGCAGCCGCGGUAAUACGUAGGGGGCAAGCGUUAUCCGGAUUUACUGGGUGUAAAGGGAGCGUAGACGGAAUUGCAAGUCUGAUGUGAAAGGCAUGGGCUCAACCCGUGGACUGCAUUGGAAACUGUAAUUCUUGAGUGCCGGAGGGGUAAGCGGAAUUCCUGGUGUAGCGGUGAAAUGCGUAGAUAUCAGGAGGAACACCGGUGGCGAAGGCGGCUUACCGGACGGCAACUGACGUUGAGGCUCGAAGGCGUGGGGAGCAAACAGGAUUAGAUACCCUGGUA